CCCCUUUCUUUCUUUCGUAUGCCUCAGAGUAGGGGCUGAUAUCUGGAGCUCACUUAAAAUUUUGGAUUAGGUCACACUGAAACUGUCUUAGUUUGCAACGAGUCCAUUUCAAGAAGCAAUUUAUUAAAUGACUAUAGAAAUGAUGUUAGACAAAAAGCAAAUUUGAGCAAUUUUAAAAUUUGAAUUCAAAAUGGGUUAUAAAGCUGCAGAGACAACUUGCAACAUCAACAAAGCAUUUGGCCCAGGAACUGCUAAUGAACAUACAAUGCAGUGGUGAUUCAAGAAGUUUUGCAAAGGAGAACAGAGCCUUGAAGAUGAGGAACAUAGUGGCUGGCCAUCGAAAGUUGACAGCGACCAAUAGAGAGGAUCAUGGAAGGUGAUCCCUCUUACAACUACAUAAGAAGUUGCCAAAGAAGUCAACAUCAAUCAUUCUACCAUCAUUUGGCAUUUGAAGCAAAUUGGAAAGGUAAAAAAACUCGAUAAAUGGGUGCUUCAUGAGCUGACCAAAAAUCAAAAAGUUGAAUGAAUUGGGCUACACAGUCUUGCCUCAUCUGCCAUAUUCACCUGACCUCUCGCCAACAUACUACUACUUUUUCAAGCAUCUCAACAACUUUUUGCAGGGACAAUGCUUCUGAAUGUGUAGCAGACCUGGAGACAGACUGGUACAGAUUGGAUCCUGGGGGAUGGAGGGCUCUAGAAAAAAAAAAAGUUGACAGAAAACAUGAUGGAUGUUUAAAGGAAAAAAUAAAGGAUAUAGUAAAAUCAAAUAGUAGAAGACAAAAA